rnacentral:rRNA from 2 species
UUUGACUGCCAUAGCGUUGUGGUCCCACCUGAUCCCAUGCCGAACUCAGAAGUGAAACGCACCCGCGCCGAUGAUAGUGUGGCAGCUGCCAUGUGAAAGUAGGUCACAGUCAAAC